rnacentral:rRNA from 1 species
CACUCCUACGGGAGGCAGCAGUGGGGAAUAUUGCACAAUGGGCGCAAGCCUGAUGCAGCCAUGCCGCGUGUAUGAAGAAGGCCUUCGGGUUGUAAAGUACUUUCAGCGGGGAGGAAGGCAAUACGGUUAAUAACCGUGUUGAUUGACGUUACCCGCAGAAGAAGCACCGGCUAACUCCGUGCCAGCAGCCGCGGUAAUACGGAGGGUGCAAGCGUUAAUCGGAAUUACUGGGCGUAAAGCGCACGCAGGCGGUCUGUCAAGUCGGAUGUGAAAUCCCCGGGCUCAACCUGGGAACUGCAUUCGAAACUGGCAGGCUUGAGUCUUGUAGAGGGGGGUAGAAUUCCAGGAGUAGCGGUGAAAUGCGUAGAGAUCUGGAGGAAUACCGGUGGCGAAGGCGGCCCCCUGGACAAAGACUGACGCUCAGGUGCGAAAGCGUGGGGAGCAGACAGGAUUAGAUACCCCGGUAGUCCCAUG